CCGAGGGCCAGUCUCCUCGCUGCCAUGCUGUUCGCUGUCCAUCCUGUACAUACAGAGAGUGUUGCAGGAGUGGUGGGGAGGGCAGAGCUGCUCUGUGCUCUCUUCUUCUUCUCAGCCUUCCUGUGUUACGUGCGCUCAUGUCAUGAAGGAGCCCAGGACCUUCAGUGCUGUCCAGAGUCCU